rnacentral:rRNA from 1 species
AACGAAUCUUCCGCAAUGCACGAAAGUGUGACGGGGCAAUGCCGCGUGUGGGAUGAAGCCCUUCGGGGUGUAAACCACUGUCAGGGUUCAGGAAACAAAUGACCAGACCCAAAGGAAGGGCCGGCUAACUCUGUGCCAGCAGCCGCGGUAAUACAGAGGGCCCGAGCGUUAAUCGGAAUCACUGGGCUUAAAGCGUACGUAGGCGGACUUGUAGGCAUCUUGUGAAAUCCCUCGGCUCAACCGGGGAAUUGCAGGGUGAACCACAAGUCUUGAGGCGAGUAGAGGCGGUCGGAACGAUAGGUGGAGCGGUGAAAUGCGUAGAUAUCUAUCGGAACGCCAAAGGUGAAGACAGGCCGCUGGGCUCGUCCUGACGCUGAGGUACGAAAGCGUGGGUAGCGAACGGG